ensembl:lncRNA
AGAUGGAUAGAUAAAUAGAUGUGAUAUUACAUUGUGAUGCAUUAAUUGUACAGCAAGAGUUUCUGUAUGACAUCACUUUCAUACAGUGGGUCAGAAAAAGGACUUGAGUCACAUGCUCAAAACAAAUGAACAGGAACAGGAAGACUUCAUUUUUGAGAGUGGACGCCAUGUUGUCUCAUUCUGUUUAAGACUUUUACUAAAACAGAUCUUGCAGGUGCUCAACAGGAAAUCUGGUGUCUUAUUUUCAGUCGAGCUGAAAGCCAUGAAACUCAUUCUGCGGUGGAUUUUUUGCUUCAGUUUAGGUUUUGUCACUGAUUGCCAAGUGAAUCGUUAUGGAUUGAAAGGAAGCUCAAUCCGUCUGAGCAUCAGUCCCAGAAAUCAGUCACUAACUAAUGUUGGAUGGCAACGAUUCAACAGGAAAGAGGUGCUUACAGACGCAAAAGAAGUUUCCCCUCAUUUUAAGAAAAGAAUGAUCCUAAACGUCUCAGACUGGUCUUUGACCAUACACAACCUUGAGGAAAAUGACAGUGGACUGUAUGAAGCCAUUAAGAAGUGGGAGGUUGAACCUCUGGCUGCAUUCACACUUACAGUGGAGAGCACUGUCUCUAAGCCUGUAAUCAGAGUGGAUCAACAUGACUUUAAUUCGUCUGCUGAAGUGUGUCGGGCCGCAGUGAACUGUUCAGCUGAUGGCAGCUGGGCCACGUUUGACUGCCACCAAAAUGUCUGUACAAAGAUACGAUCCUCUCCAUUCUCCAUUAACAUCACUGUCACUGCACUGGACAGCAGUGGCAUCAAAUGCAACGUCAACAACAACGUGAGCAUGAAUCAUUCUCAGACUCCCUUUACGUGCCAUGAAAAGCAGAAAAGUGAUUAUCGUUUUCUCCCAUCGCUCAUCUUCUGGAUCGUUGGCACCGUUUGUGGUGGUGUUUUGUUGGGUUUGGUUAUGGGUGGGAUUGUAGCAUUUGUCAAGAGAAGAAAAUGUUCAAAAGUUCAUCCACAGUCCAGUCGUGUUGUGAUUGAACAGCAUCAUGAAACAAUUUACUGCACCGUGGAAAAGCCGGCCACAUCCCAGACACAUCCAGGAAACAACACUGUCAGCAACAAAGUAGAAACCAUCUACGACACUCCAUCACGACAUACCAAGGCUUGUCAAGUAGACAGUGUGGAGGUGAUGAGAGACAAUCAGGAGCAACAGCAAUCUGGACAAGACAGAACUAUUCAAGUAAAAGCUACAGUUCACCAGGCAGCAGAACCCGAUUCAGAUCCAAUAAACACUGUUUACUGUAAACUGGGAGAGAUAUGACACAAACACAUACUGAGACGUCACUUCAGUGGAGAUUUAAAUGUAAUUUAAUAUAAAUUCUGUGUUUUUUUUUUUUACUAGUGAAUAGAUGGGUUUAAGCAUCAUUGAUGGAGACAAUACACACUGUAUGCUGCCUACUAUUUUUUGAAACAGUAUAUGCAAUACAUUCUUAAAAAUAAAUGUUCAAAAAUUGUUUUUUGUAGUGAUGCAAUAGAA